rnacentral:rRNA from 1 species
GACGAACGCUGGCGGCGUGCUUAACACAUGCAAGUCGAACGGAAAGGCCUGCUUUCCCUUGUGGAUUGCGGGCACUCGAGUGGCGAACGGGUGAGUAACACGUGAGUGAUCUGCCCCCAACUUGGGUAUAAGCCUGGGAAACUGGGUCUAAUUCCCGAUAGGACUGCAGGGUGGUGCCUGUGGUGGAAAACGAUUUUCUAGUGGUUGGGGAUGAGCUCGCGGCCUAUCAGCUUGUUGGUGGGGUAAUGGCCUACCAAGGCGGCGACGGGUAGCCGGCCUGAGAGGGUGGACGGCCACAUUGGGACUGAGAUACGGCCCAGACUCCUACGGGAGGCAGCAGUGGGGAAUAUUACACAAUGGGCGGAAGCCUGAUGCAGCGACGCCGCGUGGGGGAUGACGGCCUUCGGGUUGUAAACUCCUUUCGACCGCGAGGAAGCCACCUGGUUGGAAGGGUGGUGACGGUAGUGGUAGAAGAAGCACCGGCUAACUACGUG